UACAGAGGUCCCAAGCGUUGUUCGGAUUCAUUGGGCGUAAAGGGUGCGUAGGCGGCGGGGCAAGUCUGAUGUGAAAUCCCGGGGCUCAACCCCGGAACUGCAUUGGAUACUGCCUUGCUAGAGUACUGGAGAGGGAACUGGAAUUUACGGUGUAGCAGUGAAAUGCGUAGAGAUCGUAAGGAAGGCCAGUGGCGAAGGCGAGUUCCUGGACAGUUACUGACGCUGAGGCACGAAGGCCAGGGGAGCAAACGGG
rnacentral:rRNA from 1 species